ensembl:lncRNA
AAAGAAGGUUGUUCUGCAAGCGAGAUUCAAUAUGUAGAGGGAAGACACGUUAGUUUCCCCCACAGCCGUCAUCUUGUCCUCUCAUGGGCGCCAUGACGGUGUGCAGGGCCGUAGUAGCUCCGAAGCCAUCAGAGACAGUGAAGAAGAGCACAGGCGGUGUCGAGUCCUACCCUGCAGCAUGUGGUUUGACCAUGGGAAUCUCCUCUGCCGGAAUACCUCCUCCCCGGUACACCAAGAACGUGCUCUGCCAGCCGCCUAGCGCCUAGACGGAUUGUUUUGGGGUGCAGAAUUAGUCGGGUCAGGGAAUCCUCGGCCUCAGGCCCAGCUAAUUACUUUCCAAUGCGACGACAAUUCUUUUGAAGAGCGGUUUUCUCGCUGGCCAAAUCCCUUUAAAAGCGUCUUGGGGGUGCAAAGAGGGCAGAGAGGGAGUGAGCUGUGGCGGGCCACACCAGGGCCAGAGGGGGUACUCGUGUUACACUAUGCCUGCCGCGAUGCAUUGUUGGUGGGACGCAGAGGCUCCAGUGCCCCCCCACCAC